rnacentral:snRNA from 1 species
GUCAUUACAUCUGCAAAAUCU